rnacentral:rRNA from 1 species
UAAUACAUGCAAGUUGAGCGCUGAAGGUUGGUACUUGUACCGACUGGAUGAGCAGCGAACGGGUGAGUAACGCGUGGGGAAUCUGCCUUUGAGCGGGGGACAACAUUUGGAAACGAAUGCUAAUACCGCAUAAAAACUUUAAACACAAGUUUUAAGUUUGAAAGAUGCAAUUGCAUCACUCAAAGAUGAUCCCGCGUUGUAUUAGCUAGUUGGUGAGGUAAAGGCUCACCAAGGCGAUGAUACAUAGCCGACCUGAGAGGGUGAUCGGCCACAUUGGGACUGAGACACGGCCCAAACUCCUACGGGAGGCAGCAGUAGGGAAUCUUCGGCAAUGGACGAAAGUCUGACCGAGCAACGCCGCGUGAGUGAAGAAGGUUUUCGGAUCGUAAAACUCUGUUGGUAGAGAAGAACGUUGGUGAGAGUGGAAAGCUCAUCAAGUGACGGUAACUACCCAGAAAGGGACGGCUAACUACGUGCCAGCAGCCGCGGUAAUACGUAGGUCCCGAGCGUUGUCCGGAUUUAUUGGGCGUAAAGCGAGCGCAGGUGGUUUAUUAAGUCUGGUGUAAAAGGCAGUGGCUCAACCAUUGUAUGCAUUGGAAACUGGUAGACUUGAGUGCAGGAGAGGAGAGUGGAAUUCCAUGUGUAGCGGUGAAAUGCGUAGAUAUAUGGAGGAACACCGGUGGCGAAAGCGGCUCUCUGGCCUGUAACUGACACUGAGGCUCGAAAGCGUGGGGAGCAAACAGGAUUAGAUAC